CUGGGCUCGAACGGCCGGUCAACGGAGGGGGAAACAUGCUCUACCCUCGCAAGGGGGUCCGGUCGAGGUGCUGCAUGGCUGUCGUCAGCAUCGUGUCGUGAGAUGUUGGGUUAAGUCCCGAAACGAGCGCAACCCUCGUCCUGUGUUGCCACCCCUCAAGGGAGCACUCUCAGGAGACCGACAGCGAUAAUUUGGAGGAAGGUGGGGAUGACUUCUAGUCCUCGUGGCCUUUAUGUCCAGGGCUACACAUGUGCUACAAUGGUCGGAACAAAGGGGAGCGAACCCACGAGGGGGAGCCAAUCCCAAAAAACCGGUCUCACUUCUGAUUGCAUGCUGCAACUCGCCUGCAUGAAGCUGGAAUCGCUAGUAAUGGCAAAUCAACACGCUGCCGUGAAUACGUUCCCGGACCUUGUACACACCGCCCGUCACAUCACUAAAGUGGGUUGUACUAGAACCCUGCAGGCCCACCCUCAAGGGGGGCAACGGUCCAAGGUAUGACUCAUGAUUGGGGUG
rnacentral:rRNA from 1 species